AAAGAAAAGCAUUCUUUCUGAAAACUUUAGAGUAUAAAUUGGGAAAACAAAUAGGAAUGCAUAAAAUUUUAUACAUGCCAAAUCCUCCAAAAAUCUUUAUUAGGGCGAGAAGCAACAGUUAAAGAAGGCAAAAUGGAAUUAAGAGUAAAAAACGAUCAAGUCAUUGAAGUUUUGAGUUUAUCUUUAAUUCAACAGAAAAGCAAACAGGAGGACCUCCCUGAAAUAGAAGAAAUUCUUCAUCAGGUAUAUCUGGGAGUAUGGGCGUCUGAAGUUCCAGCAGUGAAGAUAAAGGAGUAGCCUGCUUGGAUGCAUUACUCAAGGAUCAAGAAGGUGCCAGAACCAGAAACAUAUCAGAACCGAGAAAAA